GUCUAUGGCGGGCCGUGCGGGGGAGUCGCAAGACUCGCCGGCCCUUCUCCGGUACGCCAACCUCGCACGGUCUGCCGCCCUC
rnacentral:antisense_RNA from 1 species